AGGAUGACUCAGGGUUAAACUGUCAACCCUGAUCAGAUCAUCCGAAUCGUGCUCAACUCAAACAGUCCUGUGACUCCUCACAAGGACUAUCCUGGCCAAGGUUUUGCUAAAUUGAAAUAUAACUGCACACAGCUCCUAAACUGGAGUGGUUAAUCCCAUCUUGACACACGCACCGACAAGUCAAGUACUUGACUACACCCAGCAGCCUUCCGUCACUGAAUUAGAAAUUCAGGUAGUCCAGUGCCU
rnacentral:lncRNA from 1 species